ACAAACUUGGUCAUUUAGAGGAAGUAAAAGUCGUAACAAGGUUUCCGUAGGUGAACCUGCGGAAGGAUCAUUACCAGAGUGAGGGUCUCUCGCGGCCCGACCUCCCAACCCUUUGUUUACCUAACCUCAGUUGCUUCGGCGGGCACACCACUCUCGAACGGGGAGGCUCGCCGAUGGCCCACUUGAAAACUCCGAAACCAUGAAUCAUGUCUCUUGCCUAAGUCUGAUAUCAAUGCAAAACAUAAAACUUUCAACAACGGAUCUCUUGGUUCUGGCAUCGAUGAAGAACGCAGC
rnacentral:misc_RNA from 1 species